rnacentral:rRNA from 1 species
UACGUAGGGUGCGAGCGUUAAUCGGAAUUACUGGGCGUAAAGCGUGCGCAGGCGGUUUGUUAAGUCUGCUGUGAAAGCCCCGGGCUCAACCUGGGAACGGCAGUGGAAACUAGCAAGCUAGAGUGUGGCAGAGGGGGGGUGGAAUUCCACGUGUAGCAGUGAAAUGCGUAGAGAUGUGGAGGAACACCAAUGGCGAAGGCAGCCCCCUGGGUUAACACUGACGCUCAGGCACGAAAGCGUGGGGAGCAAACAGG